CAAUAGCGUAUAUUAAAGUUGUUGCAGUUAAAAAGCUCGUAGUUGGAUUUCUGGUAGGAGUGACCGUUCCGAACUUGAUUGUUCGUGUAUUGUGUUCUCUCCAGCCAUCCUUGUGGAGAACUUUUCUUGCAUUAAUUUGUAGGGAUUGGGACCCGCAUCGUUUACUGUGAAAAAAUUAGAGUGUUUAAAGCAGGCAAUCGCUUGAAUACAUUAGCAUGGAAUAAUAAGAUAGGACUUUGGUACUAUUUUGUUGGUUUGCAUACCAAAUUAAUGAUCAACAGGAACAGUUUGAGGAUAUUCGUAUGAACAUGUCAGAGGUGAAAUUCUUGGAUUUUGAUCAGACGAACUACUGCGAAAGCAUUUAUCAAGGAUGUUUUCAUUAA
rnacentral:rRNA from 1 species